rnacentral:rRNA from 1 species
GAUGAACGCUGGCGGCGUGCCUAAUACAUGCAAGUCGAGCGAACGGACGAGAAGCUUGCUCCUUUGAUGUUAGCGGCGGACGGGUGAGUAACACGUAGAUAACCUACCUAUAAGACUGGGAUAACUUCGGGAAACCGGAGCUAAUACCGGAUAAUAUUUCGAACCGCAUGGUUCAAAAGUGAAAGACGGCUUUGCUGUCACUUAUAGAUGGAGCCGCGCUGCAUUAGCUAGUUGGUAAGGUAACGGCCUACCAAGGCAACGAUGCGUAGCCGACCUGAGAGGGUGAUCGGCCACACUGGAACUGAGACACGGUCCAGACUCCUACGGGAGGCAGCAGUAGGGAAUCUUCCGCAAUGGGCGAAAGCCUGACGGAGCAACGCCGCGUGAGUGAUGAAGGUCUUCGGAUCGUAAAACUCUGUUAUUAGGGAAGAACAGAUGUGUAAGUAACUGUGCACGUCUUGACGGUACCUAAUCAGAAAGCCACGGCUAACUACGUG